AGUGAGUAUCUUUAUUCGAUUUUAUUUGUCAUAGAAGAUAAUAGGUCUACAGAAGAAGUAGGUCUACACGCAGAGAAACAAAACAUAGUUGUGGUACCUAUGUUCUAAGAGCAACAUAAAUGUUACGUUACACAAAAUGUCAACGUUGGAAAACAAAGGAAAUUUAUACAACUACCCACAACUUACUUACCUAUGAAUAGUCAUACACACAUAAGUACAUAUUUACAAACAAAUGUAUUCCUGUAAAUAAACUGUUUGUGUAUGAAAAUGAUUCCUGUGUAUAAUAGAAACAGGACAUUCUUAUGUAUUUAAGUUAUGUUGACAAAGAGAAACAACCUCUUUCAGUUUCUUAAACGAUACCAGAUAAACUGUAAACGAUAAAGACAAGUGUAAUGAUAAUAUCACUCACAAAUAAGUUUAUAAAACAGAAACGAAAUCGACUGAAAAAAAUUCAUCUAAAAACUGUGACACGUACAAGUCAUAAGAAUUUUUAAGUAAGUACUUUUAAACAACACCUACAUAUGAUAUAAAUAAUGUGUAUGGUUUACAUAUGUAAUGUAAAGUAAUAAAAACCAACAAAAAAAAUAACAUAAAAAAGAAGAUAUAAUAAAAAUUGAAUAAAUCAUAUAGUCACCGGAACAAUAUGUUUUAUUAACAACUUCCGCUAUAGACCUAAUAAUGCAAAUAAAAACAAGAACAUGCAUAAGAAGAAAGAAAUACAUGUAUUUACAAUAAAUUGAUAACAAUUUAUAGAUAUGAUCAUACUAAUCAUAAAUAUAUAUAUAUUUUUUUUUUGCAUAUUUUGCACAACAUUAGGGAGGUUGGAGAAAAAUUUUAAACAUAUUUAUUGUUUUUUUUUCUACACCUCUCUUUAAAUAAUUUUGUUAAUAAUUCCGCGGUUUUCGAAACCAAAACGAAUCGUUUUCUUUAUUAUCUUUAUUAUUAAGGUCUCCCCCUAAUGUAUACUUUAUAUGCCUAUAUUUUUGCUUUGAUAUGAUUUUGAUUUGAUUUUACAUAUUUACAUAGCCAACAUUUGUACGUACGCAUCAUUAAGUAGUACUUUUUUCUCCUUUACAGUUCCAUUUUUUUCACUUUGAGCAAAAACAAAUAAUAAAAAUAAUAAUAACAACAACAAGAAAAAACAUAACGUCAGGAUACAGAAAACACACAUACAAACACAACAAUUUCCUACAUUUUUUUUCUUCCUGGCUCGAGGCUACAAUAAGAAUUAUGACUUCGUCUUUGUAGAAACAGAAGGUAGUGUACAUAUGUAUACUUAUGGUACCUUUUUUAUUAUUUCUUGUUUUUUUUUUCAUCCUUGCAGAUGUAGUUGUUGUUAUUAUUCUUGUUUAUUAUUGUAUGUACUUUAGUCAUUUAUAUCAAUUUUCAGUUAUACGCACGUUUCACUAUCGUAACGUGCCUUCAUAUAUUUCUUAACACUCACACAUAGAACAGAAGAAAAUUUAUGAUACACAUACAAUCAAACAUACAUAAAUACUUAUCCUUUGAGUGUAUGUAUGAUGAACAAUAAUACAAGUAAUAAUAAUAGUAAUAAUACAUACAUAUGGACACAACAAAAAGGAAAUCCAAUUUAAGGAUACAAUAAGCAUACAGAGUAUAAAGUAAAAGGAAAGCAAUUGUUUAAGAGAAAGAAAACUUUAAGGAUGUCAAAUAAUGUAUGUUUGUGUAUAUAUGUACAUAUGUAGAAACGUGUUUGUACAUUUGUGUAAAAACAAGUGGUCACAAUAUUAUUUAUUUACCACAAAUAGUCAAAAGAGGAUAUCAGUAUGCAUGUAAAGUCAUCAUACGCAUUCAUUCACAUAGACACACUUACACACACACUCACGCAUGCAUAUAUAUGUAUGUAAAUACAUUGAACAACAUAUUGUUAAUAAAUAAAUGUUUACAUACUAGUUCUUUUGUAUAUGAAUUGGUGCGUUUAUACGAGGGAAGACUAGAAAGAUUCUAGAAAUCAUUGUUCAUUGACUUGUCUAGACUUUAAACCAGUAUAUGGACUUAUCAAUAGGUAAAUGGUCUAUGAACUAUUCCCUUUUAUAAUCAUUGUACAAGUCUAUAUACUAGAUUAUAAAUUAGUCUAUUGACUAGUCUAUGAACUAGUUCCUGAACUAGUUUAAGAAUUAUUCUCUAAAGUAGUAAAUCAAUUAAUUCAUAUACUAGUCACUGAAAUAGUCUAUGAACAACUGCCUGACUAAACUAUGGAUUAGUCUAUAAACUAGUAUAUGAACUACUUGUCCAUAGCCUAGUCCUUGAACUAAGUGGACUAUUCUAUUAACUAGUUAGAUGAGCUCUUAGUCUAUGGACUAGUCCGUGAACUAGUAUAUUGAUGAUUCUGUGAAAUAGUCUAUGGACUAGUAUAUGUACCAAUCCGUGGACUAGUUCAUGAAAUAGUAUUGAACUAGUUUAUGAACUAAUCCAUGGACUAGAUUCUAAAUUUGUAUAUGAACUAAUCUCUGAACUUGUAUAUGGAUUAGUUAGUUAGUUAGUUAGUUAGUUAGUUUGAAAGGAGGAUGUAUACACAUCAAAUCCGAAGAAAUAUACCUAGGCCUCUAUCGGGCCUGUUGUGCGCUCCUUAACCAGUGCCACGGGUGGGAAUCGAACCCACCACCUCCGGUCUACCAGACUAGAACACUAACCACUAACCUACCGGAGGCCACUGUAUAUGGAUUAGUCUACGAACUGUUAUAUUAACUAGUCUACGAUAUUCUAUAUAAUAAUAAAUGUACUGGUCUAUAAACUACCCUAUAGACUGGAUAAUGGAUUAGUAUGUGAACUUGACAUGGGACUGGUCUAUAAACUAGCCCAUAGACUGGUUAAAGGAUUAGUCCUAGGCAGAAGACUAUUGAUUAAUUUAUUGCCUCUUGAUCAAUUUAUGGAUUAGUCUGUAAUUUAAUGUAACGUUUAGUCUAUGGAUUAAUGAAUCUAUAAUUAAGUCUAUGGUAUUUUCUAUGGACUAAUCUAAAGACUGCUCAAUGGACAAGCCAAUCAACUUUAUUGACUAUUCUAUGGGUUGGAAUAUACUAUAUUAUAUUUAUUAACUGUUUAGUUUAUUGACUAAUAUCAUAGUCUAGUCUAUUAAGCGUUCUUAAAACAAAAGUUUUCUAUGGGUAGUUUAUUAACUAUUCUUUUGAUGUAAUAAACUAUUAAAUAGUCAAUGUUAAAAAGUACGAAAAUACCAAAUUUUCUAUUAAUAGAUCUGUGGAUUUCUACCGAACAAGAGCACAUUUUUAUAAAAAUUAAAUAAACUUUUCAGACUAAACUCACACACAUACAUAUGUAUAAAUAUUUGCUCAUCACGAACGUGUAGUAUUGUAAAUUUAUGACAAAUAAACAAUAAAUUAAAUUACCACUUUUGCCACUUUAUGCAAACUUUGUUUUGUUGCAACUUUAGCAGAAGAAGCUCUCUGACAUUCGUUAAAGACAAAUAUAAAGAAAAUUAAAAGGAAGUCCAAGUGGCAUUUCAGGGAGUAAACAAAGGAGUUGUAUGAUUAAAUAAAAAAAACAAAUGAAUGUAAUGUCAGUACAGAGUAUAUAUUCUACUAUUACUUACUUCUUCACUCAUAAAUAAAAGACUAAAGUAUUUUACUCAUGCAUUCAUUAUACGUUCAUACAUCAAAUAAGAAAAUACAAAAAAAACACACACACACACACAAUUGUGAAAACAAGAGCUAACAGAAAAAAUAUAAGAAAAAAGAAUCUUACGAAAUUAUUACAAUCAUAUAGACAUACAACAUCUGAACAUACAUAUUUAUGUAUGAUAGAGCCAAUAUAGGACUCAUAAACACAAUGAAUCAAAAUGAAUAUACAUAUAUUUAAAUAAACAUACAGAGGAGUAAUAAAUACAUAUGUUCACAUAUUAGGGAUAUGCCUUAAACAAAUUUUGAAUUUAUACUCUCCUAUAUAACUAUUCUAUGAGCUCUUCCUUGCUGUAGUGACAUAAUAUAUAAAAAAAAAUAUUGCGGGACAUGCUACUUUUUUCGAAUCACCUUAAAAUGUUGCACCACAAAAAUGUUUUUUUUUUUUUCAAAAACUUUUCUAUUUAAAAUGUCUAUUUAAAAACGUUGUGUGACUCCUAAAUUGUAUCAUGCUAAUACAUAUGGUUUUAUACACUCACACACAUAUUUGUAAAAUUGUGUUUUAUAGAGAGUUUUACGAAUAUGUUAUACAAAUACACACAUAAUAUUUGCAUGUUGCAACACAUAUUAUAUUCAUAUUAUGGUUUGACUUUAAAUUAUACACAGAUGUGAAUAUUAUUAAUAUUUAUACAAAAGUGUGAGGUUUCAUUUUGUAUUGUUGUGUCAGUGUGUAUUUGUUAAUGGCAAAACGGAAGUUGUAUCGUAAAUUUGUUAAAUAUAUUUAUACCCUACACCACUAUAGUGGGGAGGGUAUUAUACGUUUGUGCUGAUGUUUGUAACAUACAAAAAUAUUGGUCCAA